UACGUAGGUGACAAGCGUUAUCCGGAAUUACUGGGCGUAAAGCGCACGCAGGCGGCCGAGUAAGUCUGACGUGAAAUCUCCCGGCUUAACCGGGAGCGGUCGUUGGAAACUACUUGGCUUGAGGCGAUGAGAGGGGUGUGGAAUUCCCGGUGUAGUGGUGGAAUGCGUAGAUAUCGGAGGAACACCAGUGGCGAAAGCGGCUUCCUGGUCCAGCACCGACGUCAGGCACGAAAGCGUGGGGAGCAAACAGG
rnacentral:rRNA from 1 species